UUAAAUAAUGAUAUCAAAUUCUUCAUACAAAUCAAAGUGGACGAGAAUGCCAAAGCGAGCCAGUACACAAAAAUAAUAGCACUGAAUACAAAAAUAAAAGCAAUAGCAUUGAAUUACUCAUGUCGAAUUUAUCUAUAAAUCAUUUAUUUCGUCAUACUUUGCAUCAAUAGUAUCUAAACGAAUCUUUGGUAUGACAUUUUAUUCCUUUUGCUCUUAGCAUUUACCUUACUGUGUACAGAGAAAACGUAUGCCAAUACACGCACACAUUUAUCUCUGUUAUCUUGAAAAACGAUAGCGUUGACGACUACGGCGAUGUAGUACCUAGGUCAGUUAUUGUCAUCCCUUACUAUCCCGUGAUCAGACAAAUAUUGCUAUCCUUGUCUCCUUUCUAACCGGCAUAGAACGCGUGAGCGACUGCGUCACCGGUAACAUCUUGACAAGCUAUAGCAAACCGGUAUUUAUUACGUCCCUUAUUUGACCGCCGCCGCGCGCCGCCACCGGUGAAGUUGGGGUGAAAACACAGCCUAUCGAUGUAAUGCGCCGAUAAACUAUCAUGACUGCAUUGAUGUAAUGCGCUAAAAAACUGCAAUGGCUCCGAAUACAUGAUUACCAGAUAAAUCCUAGCGCAGCUUACGUGUGUUCUUCAAUAACGUCGCAAGCUACAGUGGCUGUUCAUAAUUUUUGCAAGUUCUACACCUACAGGAUUCAGUUAUCUGGGCAUUAUAGAUACCCUAUUAUCACCUACGAAGUUAUUUAGGUAUAUUUAUUAAAACCAUUAUACAAGGUGUUGCAAAAAGGGUAUACUAAGCCGAAUGCUACAUGUGUAGCAUGGUAUAUCUAAGCCUGAAACUGAAAUCAGAAUUUAAAUA